GACGAACCGUGCGAACGUUAUUCGGAAUCACUGGGCUUAAAGCGCGUGUAGGCGGGACGGCACGUCGGUCGCUGAAAUCCCCCGGCUUAACCGGGGAACGGGCGUCGAUACGACCGUCCUGGAGGGGCGUAGGGGGACCUGGAACUUCCGGUGGAGCGGUGAAAUGCGUUGAGAUCGGAAGGAACGCCCGUGGCGAAAGCGAGGUCCUGGACGCCUACUGACGCUGAGACGCGAAAGUGUGGGGAGCGAACAGG
rnacentral:rRNA from 1 species